GGGUGGUUGUUAGAGAAUAACUUACACUGAGCAUGACUAUCAUGAGAAACCACAAGGAUAUCUAUUCACUCGUCAGUGGUCUUCUCGAUGCUACAGUGGUGUGAGUGGUCCUUUGACCUGCGGUGUCAUUGGCUAUUCACAAUGAGGCUACUGAGUUUGACUGCAUAUUUUCUUGGUCUCUGCCAUUCGGAUCGUUGGCUUCAAUAGGUUCAGAUUCGCUGUUUAGAGUAGGAUGCACCUAGAUGAAAUCUAUCAACUUUGGUAGAAAAGGAGAAGUCCUAUGGAAUUUGUGAGACUGAGUUUAGAAAGUCUUUGGCCAAAGUAAUUAUGAAUACUGAAAAAAAAAUUUCUACAAGAUUCAUAAAUGAACUCGAGUCGAGCCAAUCUAGCAUAUGACUGACAAUGGGAUCUGACGAGUUCUCCAUGACCUCCAUCAAGUCGGGACUUACGAUAGAAGGACUGAAUCAUACGAUAAUUGUUCCUAAGAGUUUAUACUUUCAUUCUACUGGAUUGUCACUAUAUACUACUAGGUAUCUCUAGUGGAUUGUGAGAUUCAUCGAGGGUCAUCUUGAUGAUUGAUGACCCUCGAAGGAUAGAAUUAAAAAUAUUCCAA
rnacentral:lncRNA from 1 species